AUGAGGUUGUGGAGAACCACCCUUGAAGCCAAUGGGAAGCCACUUGCCCAAGUAUCCAUCAAAUGUGGCAUAUACCAAGAAGAUGCACUGUCCCCACUGCUGUUCUGCAUAGGUCUGAACCCUCUCAGCCAAAUAAUAAAAAAGACUGGCUAUGGAUACCGACUCCGGAACGGGGCCACCAUAUGUCACCUCCUCUACAUGGAUGACAUCAAGCUGUACGCCAAGAAUGAGCGAGACAUCGACUCACUGAUCCACACCACCAGGAUCUACAGCUCGGACAUUGGGAUGUCAUUCGGAUUUGAGAAAUGUGGGAGGAUGGUGACAAAGAGAGGCAAGGUAAUCCACACAGAAGGGGUCUCACUCCCAAAAGGAACAAUAGUAGACAUUGAGGACAGUUACAAGUACCCUGGAAUACCACAGGCGAAUGGCAACCUUGAACAGGCAACAAGGAAUGCGGCAACAGCCAAAUACCUCCAACGAGUAAGGCAAGUCCUAAGAAGCCAGCUCAAUGGCAAGAACAAAUUCCGGACAAUAAACAGCUACACCCUGACAGUUUUUAGAUACCCUGCGGGAAUAAUAAGGUGGCCAAAGGAAAAGAUACAGACCACAGAUGUUCAGACACGAAAGGUGCUCACCAUGCAUGGAGGGUUCCACCCCAAAUCCAGCACCCUGAGACUGUACACUAGCCGCAAGGAAGGAGGCCGAGGACUAGUGAGCAUGAGAGCCACUAUCCAGGAUGAAACAUCCAAAAUCCAUAAGUACAUCAAGGAUAAAGCUCCGACAGAUGACGUGCCUAGUGAAUGUCUCAGGCAGUGGAGAACAGAGGAUGAGAUGCUGGAGGAGGGACCAUCAUGGGAGGACAAGCCCUUGCACGGGAUGUACCACCGGAACAUAACUGAAGUGGCUGAUCUCAACAAAUCCUACCAAUGGCUUGUAAGGGCUAGGCGGAAGGACAGCACAGAGGCACUCAUCCUGGCUGCACAGGAGCAGGCCCUGAGCACCAGAGCCAUAGAAGCCCAGAUCUACCACACCAGACAAGACCCAAGGUGUACACUGUGCAAAGGGGCCCCUGAGACAAUCCAGCACAUAACUACAGGGUGUAAGGUGCUGGCAGGGAAAGCAUACAUGGAACGCCAUAACCAAGUGGCUGGCAUAGUAUACAGGAACAUCAUGCGCAGAGUAUGGACUGGAAACCCUAAGGUCAAAGUGGGAAACACCUCCCAAGGUGGUUGA
rnacentral:lncRNA from 1 species